rnacentral:rRNA from 1 species
UACGUAGGGUGCAAGCGUUGCCCGGAUUUACUGGGCGUAAAGGGCGCGUAGGCGGCCACUGCAAGUCAGUUGUGAAAUCUCCGGGCUUAACCCGGAAAGGUCAACUGAUACUGCAGGGCUAGAGUGCAGAAGGGGCAACUGGAAUUCUCGGUGUAGCGGUGAAAUGCGUAGAUAUCGAGAGGAACACCUGCGGCGAAGGCGGGUUGCUGGGCUGACACUGACGCUGAUGUGCGAAAGCUAGGGGAGCGAACGGG